AGAGUUUGAUCAUGGCUCAGAACGAACGCUGGCGGCGUGGAUAAGACAUGCAAGUCGAACGAGACUUUCCGUUGUAGCAAUACGAUGGAAAGUUUAGUGGCGAACGGGUGCUUAACACGUGGGCAACCUGCCAUGAAGUGGGGGAUAGCUCGCCGAAAGGCGAAUUAAUACCGCAUGUGAUUAGAGAGGACAUCCUUUCGAAAUUAAAGUCGGGGCAACCUGACGCUUCUUGUGGGGCCCGCGGCCUAUCAGCUAGUUGGUGAGGUAACGGCUCACCAAGGCUUUGACGGGUAGCUGGUCUGAGAGGACGACCAGCCACACUGGGACUGAGACACGGCCCAGACACCUACGGGUGGCAGCAGUCGAGAAUUUUUGACAAUGGGGGAAACCCUGAUCGAGCGACGCCGCGUGGAGGAUGAAGGUCUUCGGAUUGUAAACUCCUGUCAUUUGGGAACAAGGUGCACACGUUAACUGCGUGCGUAUUGAUAGUACCAGAAGAGGAAGAGACGGCUAACUCUGUGCCAGCAGCCGCGGUAAUACAGAGGUCUCAAGCGUUGUUCGGAUUCAUUGGGCGUAAAGGGUGCGUAGGCGGCGCGGUAAGUCGGGUGUGAAAUCUCGGAGCUUAACUCCGAAACUGCAUUCGAUACUGCCGUGCUUGAGGACUGGAGAGGAGACUGGAAUUUACGGUGUAGCGGUGAAAUGCGUAGAUAUCGUAAGGAAGACCAGUGGCGAAGGCGGGUCUCUGGACAGUUCCUGACGCUGAGGCACGAAGGUCAGGGGAGCAAACGGGAUUAGAUACCCUAGUAGUCC
rnacentral:rRNA from 1 species